rnacentral:rRNA from 1 species
UACGUAGGGUGCAAGCGUUGUCCGGAAUUAUUGGGCGUAAAGAGCUCGUAGGCGGUUUGUCGCGUCGAAUGUGAAAACCCGGGGCUCAACCCCGGGCCUGCAUUCGAUACGGGCAGACUAGAGUUCGGUAGGGGAGUCUGGAAUUCCUGGUGUAGCGGUGAAAUGCGCAGGAUAUCAAGGAGGAACACCGGUGGCGAAGGCGGGUCUCUGGGCAGUAACUGACGCUGAGGAGCGAAAGCGUGGGGAGCGAACAGG